rnacentral:rRNA from 1 species
CACGUAGGGUGCGAGCGUUGUCCGGAAUUAUUGGGCGUAAAGAGCUCGUAGGCGGUGUGUCGCGUCGGCCGUGAAAACCUGCAGCUUAACUGUGGGCUUGCGGUCGAUACGGGCAUCACUGGAGUUCGGGCAGGGGAGACUGGAAUUCCUGGUGUAGCGGUGAAAAUGCGCAGAUAUCAGGAGGAACACCGGUGGGCGAAGGCGGGGUCUCU